UACAGAGGGUGCAAGCGUUAAUCGGAAUUACUGGGCGUAAAGCGUGCGUAGACGGUUACAUAAGUCGGAUGUGAAAGCCCUUGGCUUAACCGAGGAAGUGCAUCCGAAACUGGCGGGCUAGAGUACGAAAGAGGAUCGCGGAAUUCCCGGUGUAGAGGUGAAAUUCGUAGAUAUCGGGGAGGAACACCGGUGGCGAAGGCGGCGAUCUGGGUCGAUACUGACGCUGAGGUGCGAAAGCGUGGGGAGCAAACAGG
rnacentral:rRNA from 1 species